rnacentral:rRNA from 1 species
GAGGACGCUAGUUCUCAUGGAGCCGCCCUUGAAAUACCACCCUGUUGUUAUUGAGGUUCUAACUUGGUCCAGUAAUCCUGGAUGAGGACAGUGUAUGAUGGGUAGUUUGACUGGGGCGGUCUCCUCCCAAAGAGUAACGGAGGAGCACAAAGGUACCCUCGGUACGGUCGGACAUCGUACCAAGAGUGUAAAGGCAAAAGGGUGCUUGACUGCGAGAGUGACGGCUCGAGCAGGAACGAAAGUUGGUCUUAGUGAUCCGGUGGUUCUGAAUGGAAGGGCCAUCGCUCAACGGAUAAAAGGUACUCCGGGGAUAACAGGCUGAUACCGCCCAAGAGUUCAUAUCGACGGCGGUGUUUGGCACCUCGAUGUCGGCUCAUCACAUCCUGGGGCUGAAGCAGGUCCCAAGGGUAUGGCUGUUCGCCAUUUAAAGUGGUACGCGAGCUGGGUUUAGAACGUCGUGAGACAGUUCGGUCCCUAUCUGCCGUGGGCGUAGGAAAAUUGAGAGGAGCUGCUCCUAGUACGAGAGGACCGGAGUGGACGAACCUCUGGUGCACCGGUUGUCACGCCAGUGGCAUGGCCGGGUAGCUAAGUUCGGACGGGAUAACCGCUGAAAGCAUCUAAGCGGGAAGCCUCCCUCAAGAUGAGUUUUCCCAUGAAGCCCGUUGAAGACUACGACGUUGAUAGGCAAGGUGUGGAAGCGCAGUAAUGCGUGAAGCUAACUUGUACUAAUUGGCUGAUUGUCUUGACCAUAUAAUCUGAG